CGUAGGGUGCGAGCGUUAAUCGGAAUUACUGGGCGUAAAGCGUGCGCAGGCGGUUUGUUAAGAUAGGCGUGAAAUCCCCGGGCUCAACCUGGGAACUGCGCUUAUGACUGGCAAGCUAGAGUACGGCAGAGGGGGGUGGAAUUCCACGUGUAGCAGUGAAAUGCGUAGAGAUGUGGAGGAACACCAAUGGCGAAGGCAGCCCCCCUGGGUCGAUACUGACGCUCAUGCACGAAAGCGUGGGUAGCAAACAGGAUUAGAUACCCUGGUAGUCCACGCCCUAAACGAUGUCAACUAGGUGUUGGAUGGGUAAAACCAUUUAGUACCGGAGCUAACGCGUGAAGUUGACCGCCUGGGGAGUACGGCCGCAAGGUUA
rnacentral:rRNA from 1 species